UACAGGGGGGGCAAGCGUUGUUCGGAAUUACUGGGCGUAAAGGGCUCGUAGGCGGCCAACUAAGUCAGACGUGAAAUCCCCAGGCUCAACCUGGGAACUGCGUCUGAUACUGGAUGGCUUGAAUUCGGGAGAGGGAUGCAGAAUUCCAGGUGUAGCGGUGAAAUGCGUAGAUAUCUGGAGGAACACCGGUGGCGAAGGCGGCAUCCUGGACCAAUAUUGACGCUGAGGAGCGAAAGCCAGGGGAGCAAAGCGGG
rnacentral:rRNA from 1 species